rnacentral:pre_miRNA from 14 species
AUCUGACCCAUUAGUGAAAGACCCCCGAAGCAGGGAGACCCUCACUCAAGUCUCGGGAUGACACGACCACCCCAAGAACUCACAUAAGACU